UGGGGAAUUUUGGACAAUGGGGGAAACCCUGAUCCAGCCAUCCCGCGUGUGCGAUGAAGGCCUUCGGGUUGUAAAGCACUUUUGGCAGGAAAGAAACGUCAUGGGUUAAUACCCCGUGAAACUGACGGUACCUGCAGAAUAAGCAUCGGCUAACUACGUGCCAGCAGCCGCGGUAAUACGUAGGGUGCAAGCGUUAAUCGGAAUUACUGGGCGUAAAGCGUGCGCAGGCGGUUCGGAAAGAAAGAUGUGAAAUCCCAGAGCUCAACUUUGGAACUGCAUUUUUAACUACCGGGCUAGAGUGUGUCAGAGGGAGGUGGAAUUCCGCGUGUAGCAGUGAAAUGCGUAGAUAUGCGGAGGAACACCGAUUGCGAAGGCAGCCUCCUGGGAUAACACUGACGCUCAUGCACGAAAGCGUGGGGAGCAAACAGG
rnacentral:rRNA from 1 species